rnacentral:rRNA from 1 species
UACGGAGGGGGCUAGCGUUGUUCGGAAUUACUGGGCGUAAAGCGCACGUAGGCGGCUUUGUAAGUUAGAGGUGAAAGCCCAGGGCUCAACCCUGGAAUUGCCUUUAAGACUGCAUCGCUUGAACAUCGGAGAGGUAAGUGGAAUUCCGGAGUGUUAGAGGUGAAAUUCGUAGAUAUUCGGAAGAACACCAGUGGCGAAGGCGACUUACUGGACGAUAGUUGACGCUGAGGUGCGAAAGCGUGGGGAGC